AUGGAGACUACAAGGAAAUCAUUUGUCUCACUGGCAUUCUUAUUGUCUUUCUUCAUCAUUGCAUCAGAAGCAAGAGGACCCAUUGUACAUCUUCAUUGUACUUCAAACGAAGAAUGUUCAUUACGUCCUUGUGCUGCUUCAUGUGGUUGCCAAUGUAUCGAUACCUAUUGUCAAUGCACAAGACUACCACCUUCUUUUAACUAUAAUAAUCUUCACAUUCAUGCACCCCGAAAUUGAGCAACGAGGUUUUGAGAUGCAUGCAAUCACCAAAUGUAGGAUUGCAUCUUCUUGAAAGAUGUUUAAUAAAAUGCAUGCUUUUAUCAGUUUU